CAGACUGAAGGAAGGAUGUAAACUCCAGGCCAGCACAGGUUCAGAAUCUCUAUUCACACAGCUGUACCAGCAAAUUUGAGACUCUGGAGACCCUGUAUAAGGCAUCUGCCUGGUGGGCUGUGGGUUUCCUUCUUACAACUGGUGAAGAUCUGAACAAGUUCAAACUGCAGGUUCAACACUGACACACCGGAAUACACUGACCGCACCAACUGUCUGACUCAUCUCAAAGGCGCCCUGUGCACUCCUCCAAAGAGCCGGUCUGCAGCCAGACUCAUGUGACCUCUUCAUAACAUCUGCCAGGAAGCAUAUCUUCAGCUCUGUCCUAUACGCCCUUGAGGAAUAUUGGCUUUCAGCACUGUAUAUUUGACCAAUGUCCAAAUAUCUUACAAUGUAAUUAAUUAAAAGUGAGCUAUAGAUAUUACGUUCCUGUGUGACACUGUAGGCUGUUGGGUCUUGUCAAUGAGUAUAUUCAGAUUGUUUAUAAUUAAAAUAGAAAAACGAAACUAAGGAUAUCAGGCCUUAAGGCUACAAUCAGAGUUUUCUGCAAUUUUCAGCCAGUUACUCAUUCAUAAAAUAAUCAUUUUAAACAUUACAAACUAAUAGUGUCUAUUUUUAGCGAACAAGGGUUUUCCCACAGUUCAGGGACCAUUCUACUCAAAAAUGAUUACCUGGUCAUUGGAUUUCUGUGGCAAGGUGCCUGGAAGCUAUUUAUAUCUUAAGAUAAAUGCUUAUCUGAGAGGUCCAAGCAAUUACAUGCUUGAGUUAUUGUACUGCUUGCAGCUCUUUACCCUGUGCAGGGAAACAUUCAUUGUUAGCACCGUAAUGACAGGGCUCUUAUUUAAUGGCUCCCUUGUCUGCUCAUGUUGUACAGUAUGUAAGUAUUCAAACAAAGAAAAAACCUUUACUCCUUUUUCCAACAAGUCAUGUGGUUGCCAAUCCUCUCCUAUCAAUCCGUUCAUUCAAAAAAUGCAAUACAUGAUGAAUAGAACAUAUAGUAUACCAGAAUGGCGAACUUUGUGUCUUCCUUACAAUCACUUCUUAAAAUGUACUUUUAUCAGAAGGCAUUCCUUUAGUCUUUGAUUAGUUUAUUUCUUAUAGUUUUUGUUUUAUGCUGCUUUUAGAUUGCUUUUCAUCCUCUAUUUUAAUAUGUAUUCAUUUCUUUCUAUUAGUCUACUGUAUUUUAUCUCCUUGUUAUUAUUUUCAUUUCUGUGUAAAGAACUUUGUAGCUCUGUUUUGAAAAGUUCUAUAUAAAUAAAGAUUAUUAUUAUUAUUACUGCUCUAUUAUGCAAUGGAAUAUAUAUCUAGAUUUUAUAACAUGUUGAAAUUUAAGAAUUGAUGUUGAAUACAAUACACAAAUACAUAAAUAAAUCUGUUUUUCAAAGGUAAAUAUUAUCAUUAGCAUUCUGCUCCAGGCUUAGGAUGUCAAAUAUAUUUGAUUCAUCCAUGCAGCGAACACCUCCAUUUACACUGAUUUGACGCAUGCCAUAAUAGGUAUAGUCAUUUAGUUUUACUGCUUGCUUGAAAUAGUAACCUUGCACCAUUAACACAAAGCAGUAUUACUGUUUCUACAUUUCAAUAUGUCAUCAUAGAUAUCAAUUUUAUUUCCAUUUGUUUAUUCAUAGUAUGUCCCCCAUUCAGCUCAGCAUGUCUUGCGCUAUUGGAAUUCAUGAAUGGCUUUGAAAUAUUCCACCUACAAUCUAUUAAUCAAUUAGACUGUGGGUCUGCAUUCCAUUCUCAAUAUUGGACACAAAUACAAGCUCCUGCACCUAGUUUAUGUUUUUUAUUUAUUUAUUUUAUUUUAGGCUCCACCCACUUCUGAUGCACUGAUGACUUGACAUAAAUGGCAUUACUGCAGAUUACGUAUUAAUGCAGUUUGAACUGGAGAGCAGUUACCGCGGUUUGUCUAAUGCACUCUGCCAUGUGCCUCGAAUCACUACAGUGGAUUGUGCCUCUAUUCAUGGAAAGCUCCUCCCAUAGGGAAUAUUCCUCUGUAAAUGAAUCCUACCAUACUGCUGCAUUCAUAAAAUAAAUGUUAGCCACCCCCAUGUGAAACACCCUGCACCUGAAUAUUCUUCUUGCACAAAUAAGAGUCUCUUGUAGUUGUCAUGACCCACAAAAUAAUGCAAAUUAACAACGAGGACAGUAAGGUUAUAAAGGCCAAUACUAUGAAUAUCAGAGAGGAUAUCUGCUGAAAAUCAACAUGCAGUUUUGUAGAAAUUGGUCACCAAGCGGAAAUAGAAUAUGUCCUUUGCAUAUAUGAUAUUUAUGAAGUGCAACCACCAAUCAGAAUGAAAGCACUUUCGCUCUAGCGUUUCAUGGUACCCAUCAAGGAGGGUGGCUCCCAUUGCCAGAAAGAAAAGAUGGUACCAAACAAGCACUCAAUCACCAUCAUAACUUGCACUGUACACAUUACAUGAACAAGAAAUAUUUCAUUAUUAUAAAUACUUAUUGAAAUGGACUGAAAUUAUUAGGUUAUAUUAAAAUUUUGUGUAUUUAUGUGUAUAUUUCUGGCUCUUCCGAAAAGAUUUUAUUACAUAACAAUUGUCUCACAGGAUAAAAAAUCAAUAAAAAGCUUGUGUUAGCUGAAAAUAAAGCACUUGCAUUUGUUAUGAGUACGAGUGUGGUCAUAAUGCAAGUGUGCUAAUGUUAUCUAGAGCUGAUAGUGUCAUUAUAAGGAAGCACUUACCAUGUUAAUUGUUUACCUGUCAAGGAACUACAGGGAAAAUUUGGUUUAUAACUCUAAUCUUUGGUACUAACAGAAAUGUUGAUAAAUGCGUAUUGUCCCUAACAAACCAGCAAAGAAACAAACAAAUUUCAAGUACAUUUUUAAUCAUUUCUUCUAGUUCAUUGUUUGUUUGCUUUGAAUAUAAUCUGGAUAUUCUCUUUCAUUUCUGUACAUUUGCCAUGAAAAUAAUUCUGAUUAAUAUUAUUAAGUAGCAGCUUUCUGAAUGUUGGAAUGUUUUUUCUGACUAUGAACCACUAGAGUAGAACAUUGAAGGGUAAGGUUAUUCAUUUAACAAAGGCUUGUCUUCUACAAUGAAAAUAUUUCUGCAUAAAGGUUCUAUAACAUAUAUUUAAAAACUAUAAAAAUGUAUUU